GAGGAGAAUUUACAGAGGAGGCCACUGCUGUGGUAAAGCUUGGCCCUCAGUCACCACUUCCACCCACCAUACUACAUGGUUUUAGGUACAGUCAACUCUGUUUUCCAAGAUGAUGGGAAAGAUGCCUGGAACACAUGACAUUAAUGCUGGUAGGAGAAAAAAGCCCAGAUACCAAAUUAUAGGGGACACUGGGAAGCGCUGUACAAGGACACUUGAUGGAAUUAGCUCAGGUUCAGCCGGAAUGACAAGUUCAGGCUCACCAUCAGUGUAUUACUUGCUUGCAAAACCACAUCACCUAAUGUACACUUCUUUUGCCAGCAGAGAACCCAGCAAUAUAUCUGCAGUGUGAGCUAUCUAGGAUCUGGAACACUGCAGGAAGCAGAGAGCUCCAAGAUCAUUACUUAGAGCUGGAUUAUGUUGGUCCCAGACUGACACAUCCAGAGCACAAUGGAUAUCUGAAUUGCAGUUCUCUCUCUACACAAGGAUCACAACACAGCUAAACCACAGUUACAUGUUAGUUAUCACACAGACAACUACUUGAAUGUACUCAAGUGAUUGCGAUAUUUUAUUAUUUUAGUAUCGAGCUGGGCAACCACACGUGUAUGUAGUGUGUUUUUUAUUGCCCUUUUUUUUUUUAAUCUUUUGCUAGUAAACUCAGGGCUAUUCUGCCAGGUAAAAAUUAUACCUACCUGGAAUUAUAAGUGUCUUAGCCUGGACAACAAGGAAGUUCUGAGCAGGAUCAAAAAAAUAUUCCUUUCAGUGGAAAUAUCAGUAAAUUGAAAGCUGUAUUAGCAAUAUGUACCACCUCAGAAAAUUAGUUUAUUCUAGGCAUCAGGAACAUUCUGGUUACAUUCAGACUUAUGGAUGUCACACUUGGACUUUACCUUCUCCUUUGAUCAUUCCACUCUGAAUACUUUGUACAGUUGAUAAAGGAAUGUCACAGGCCAACUUCCAUGUGUAAGAAAAGCAUAUUUUCUUUGCCAUAAAAAAUUCUAAGAAAAAAAAAGAAAACUUGUUCUGGUGCGUUUUUACUUAUGUUAGACUGAAGGAGGCUUUCUAGGCUGCUCUUCUUCAUACAGGGCUAGUUCUGUUAUGCACUGAAAUAGAGGAUUUUAUGGCUGUUUAUAUUUCCAGCAAGUAAGCGAAACCUAAGUGAAAAUAAAACUGAAAGACACUGAUGGUUUUGUUCUAAGUGUAAGUGAGAUGGAACCCUGGGUGUUGCUCUGUCAUACAGCACAGCAUUACAAAAGUUCCAUCCAUUUUGUUCUAGGAAAAUCAAACCAUACUGACCAUGGUUGUCACUUUCCCCAUUAGCAGAGAUGCAAUGCAUAAAACUCAAACCUGAAGGCACAACAGAACCUUAAAACAAGGAGGGGAGGAGGGUGGCAAAGAACCUUUGGCCAUCAGUAGGCUUCUGCCAUCAAAUUCAGUCAUUUUUUUCAUUAAUCAGUCUGUACUCCAUCUGGGAAAAAAUGGUAAGAUCACAGGUUUUAGAUAGCUACUAUUCCCAGCUAGGCUUCUUGUGUCAUACAAAAGUAAUCAGCUACUACUCCACUGAGCACUUGACACUACAUCCCUCUUUAAUUCCUUUCAAAUUGGAUGUUUAGAACAGAAAUGAACGGCACGUUUGCAUUUACUGGCAUUGAUGUAGCCCUUGAAUUUGUUGCCAUUUAGUGAAGAUUCUACGUAUUCCAUCAAGUCUCCCAUACUGGAUAGCAGUCAAGAUGGUACUUAUCUUUUGCUGUCUCUGCAGGGUCAGACUUCAAUUUUCUUCUUCCUUCCUUGUGAUAAAAAUUGAAAACAAAACCAUACUUCUUUAUUUGCAUCUCUGUACUAUACAGUUUCAGUUUUUCAGUUGUGAGUAUACUGAUACACAAAGGAGAUAGGGGAUAGUUUGUAUAGGUUUGGGCCCAUUUUCUUGAUUCUCCUGAUAACUUCUAGAAAAGCCACUUAGGUAUUAAGAUGACAACCCCAUGUCUCUGUGUCUCACGCCAAUGUAGAACUAAGCAGAAUUAUCAAACUCGCUAUCACUGUCCUCCUCAGGAUCCUAUCCCUCCAGAAGAGAAACCCUUAUCUGAUUGCAAUUUACUCCCUUACUGCUUACUAGAACACCAUCCCAAAACAGUGACAGCAGGCUUUAGGGACCUGCCUAAGGUUUUGUGGGGACAGACCUUGCUGAACACAUAGGACUUAGUAGGUGAGCAUUGCUUCUUUGCAAAGAUGUGCUGGUCAGAAUAAUUUUGCCCACCUGACCCAUGAAUCAUCCCCUCAAGCAUUCAGGAAAAAAAAUGAAGCUCUGUCCAUUUGGAUGUACAACCAUAUUCAAAUAAUUUAUUCAUCCUCGCUAUUUUUUUGAGAUGCUACAAAAAUUGUUCCUAAUAUUUUUAGUUUGCUCUUGCUGCAACUCCUGUUGAGGGAACAACAGGACUGCCUUCUAUUUCUGACCUCAUAAUGCAUAUGAAAAGGCCAUCCCAGACAGAGAGACUUUCAACACCUGAUUUUCCUCAGUAUAUCCCAACUCUUUUGCAGCCAA